rnacentral:piRNA from 1 species
AGUUGUCCUCCUGCUCUC